CAGAAAGCUGUGCCGUGUUGCAUUUUGGGGUGGGAUGGAACGAUGAGCCGACGCAUCUCCCGUAGCCCAUGUGCAGAUCCCGUGCCUCUGCAGCAUUGCUUGAUGCCGGAUGGGGGAUCUGCUAACUCACACGUAAUGCAUCAAAAUGCAAACAGCGCACCAGCUGUAUUCCAUACGAUCCCUCUGCAUUCUUUUGCAAUGCUGAGAGCACAAACGGGGAACUAAAGGAAACUUUUGAGACCCUUUUCAAGUCAGUCAGGGGAGGAAGCUUCACGUUCAAACUGUGCUCUUCAUGUUCUUGAAGGGGCAGAGCAACGUGUGAAAGAGAGGUUCCUGCAGCUGGCAGUAUGAAGGCACUGUGCAAGAGGAUGCGCUGAGGACAGCCAGAUGAGAGUCCCCAGGCUGAGGAUAGAGCUCUCAGGCUGCGAUUCGACCCAGAGCCACAUGGACGCCCUCCCAGCUGGCAUCCCCAGGCAGCACUGUGCUGCCCUUGGUGCCGACUGCCUCCUGGACUCCAAGGACCAUCUCCUGGCUCACAGCUGGGCAGGCUCCCACUCGGAGCUGCUGCACUGGGCAGGCUCGCUGGCAGCAGCACUCACCUGCACCUAAGUGAGAGCACGAGGCCUGGAUGCCUGCUAGACCUGGUUGGCCCUGGCAGGAGGCAGGAUGGACACGACUGUCAGCCUUUGUCUGCAGGCAGGUGCACCGUGGUCACGCUGAUGGAGAGAGUGAGGGAGGGUGUAUAUAGGUUUGUAGGGGGUAUACUGGGGGCGUGUUCCAUGCUGAGAGGGCUGAUUCAGUUGCAUAAAUGCCAGCAGCCUGCUGCUUUCACAGAGAUUGCCUCCCAGACGUGUUCUCUGGAGAGAGGGUGGACAGCAUAGGGUGAUGGAGAUGCUGACUAUCCCUUCCUGAGGUCAGGACCCUCUCCUUAUCCAGCAGUGGUACAGAUGGGGUAGCAGCAGCAGCAGCAAGGGUCUCCCUGGGUUCUGCUCCUGUUCAGCCUCUAAGGUCACAGUGGGCUGGGUGUGAGAGGCAGGGACCUGACCAGACACAUCCAGCUGUGGCAAAUGCAUCCCUGUGUGGUUCCCCAAGAAGGGCCAUGUAGGGUUUUAUUCGCAGCCCAGCCCGGGCUCAGCAUGGAGAACAGGGCUGGCAGGGCUGCACUGGGGAGGGAAUGGAGUAACCUACAGCUGGGGAAGCUGAGGCAGGGGUCUGAAAUGCCAUGUGCCCUCUGCAGAGUUCUUCCAGGGCGUAGCAGUGCCAUGUGCAGGGCUUCAGCCCUAUUGUCAGGGGCUCUGAGUGCUGCAUGGAAAAGAAGUUCUUUUAAGGGCAAGAAUUUGUCUCCAGGGGUCUUCAUGCCAGCACCGUGGCCUUUCCUUUCCUCUGUGCACCCCAUGCUUCUGCUUGUGUGCUUAGCUCCUGCCUGGUCUGGUGUGGAGGCCUUUGUGGACCACGGGGAUGGCCUGUGAUAGUAAGAAAAUGGGUCCAUCAAAUGCAAGUGGGUCCAUUUUGUCCAUGGAGAUGCGUUGUCUUUCCUCCCGAGGCCUGCUGGGGGUCACCCCCGCUUGGUGCAGCACAGGAUCUCAGGCAUUUUCUGUAAAAGCUCUCUGCUAUCAUCAGCAUUAACAGCUGGGAGCUGCAAAGUGCUCUGGGAUUGCCACGAAGUGUAGUGGAAGUGUGAGAGCUGAUGAAUCUGUUGCCCAGGAGGGAGAUUGUAGAGCUGCUCAUUUACCUUUGUUAGGCAGCAAGCGGCUUGUCUGGGCACAGCCAUGCCGUGGUGAAGAGUUGAAGGGCCCCAGCAGUGCCUGCUGACAGCUCCAGCACAACAGGGGUGGGGGAUUUCCCUGCAGCAGCCCCAAACCAUGGAUCCAGAGCAGUGCUUGUGAGAACCCUGGGAUGCACUCCUGACUCGUGGAAUGAACCUCUGCCGUGCAAUGGGGAGGGCUUGCCGAGGUAUCUCCUGCAACUCACUACCCAAAGGAGAGAGGCACCACAUACUUCUCCCUGUCUGAUCUGUAAGAUGCCACUGCAGUCAUUAUGGCUUUUUUGUCCUGUUUUUUUUUUUUUGCUCUUAAUGUGUGAAUGCACUCCGUUCAAGGCUAAGCUUUCCAUUAAGCCACAUAAAGUUGAAAUGCCCACGGAAAGCAAAACGGCCACCUGCCCUAAGCUAAAAACCUGAGGCUGUGCAGAUUCUCCUCCCAGUCUCUACAGAGCAGCUCUCACUGCUGCUGGGUUGGUCGGUGUGGGUCCGGUGGCAGCGUGGUGUCCUUGGAGCCCAUCUGGUGCUGCUCCCACUGCCAUUCCCCGUGAGUGCUGGGCAUGUGCCAGAGGGCUGCAAGUGAGGGCUGCUGUGUGGUGUUCCAUCACAUCCACACUUCUUGGUGUCCCCAUGGUGUGAGCCCGGCCGGUGUGGCCUCGGGGCUCCUCCUGAGGCAGCGGCGGUCUAAAAACACUGAUGAAAAGCUGAUUAAUCCUUGUAAGUGAGCAGCUAUAGCUCCUCUCCAGAACCGAAGAGAUUACCACUGAUUUGUCAUCCUGAUUGUUUCAGCGAGAGGUGCAAUUAGUUGCUCUAAUUUAGCUUCGCUGCUCGCUGAGUGGCAUGACAACUGAGAUGCAAUCAGGAGCUCCGCACGCAACGCAGCCACCGAUGGGUGCAGCUGUGCCCACCACCAUUUUGCACACUGAGGGUGGGCCCAAAAUGGUGGAGUGCCGUGUGCUCAUAUGUGUGUGUGUGUGUGUGUGUGUGUGUGUGUGUUCGACUCUGAGACCAGCAGGGCUCCCUAUGGAGCAGGCUCUAAGGCACGGGGUCGUGGCUGAGCACCCUGGAGGAUGCUGAGCACACCAUUGCCAGGUGCAAUAAAAUUAAUACUAGCUACGGGAGAGGCUGCACAUUUUGCUCAAGGCCCUGUCUGAGUCCAGUUGUUGGUUUGGAAGAGGAGCCGAGCUGCCAAGGGAAGCCCGGAGUGUGGGGCACCCGAUGGGCUGGCGCUCCCACUCCAGGCAGAGGGGAGGGAACGCAGCGGUUGUAUGUCCAUGUCCUGCAAAACAAAAGAAUCUAAAAU
ensembl:lncRNA